GAUGAACGCUGGCGGCGUGCCUAAUACAUGCAAGUCGAGCGAAUGGAUUAAGAGCUUGCUCUUAUGAAGUUAGCGGCGGACGGGUGAGUAACACGUGGGUAACCUGCCCAUAAGACUGGGAUAACUCCGGGAAACCGGGGCUAAUACCGGAUAACAUUUUGAACCGCAUGGUUCGAAAUUGAAAGGCGGCUUCGGCUGUCACUCAUGGAUGGACCCGCGUCGCAUUAGCUAGUUGGUGAGGUAACGGCUCACCAAGGCAACGAUGCGUAGGCGACCUGAGAGGGUGAUCGGCCACACUGGGACUGAGACACGGCCCAGACUCCGACGGGAGGCAGCAGGAGGGAAUCUUCCGCAAUGGACGAAAGUCUGACGGAGCAACGCCGCGUGAGUGAUGAAGGCUUUCGGGUCGUAAAACUCUGUUGUUAGGGAAGAACAAGUGCUAGUUGAAAAAGCUGGCACCUUGACGGUACCUAACCAGAAAGCCACGGCUAACUACGUGCCAGCCGCCGCCGUAA
rnacentral:rRNA from 1 species